CCACCGCGCCCAGUCUUUUUUUGUGCCUUUUGCCUUGAAUUUAAUUUUGUGUGAUACUAUAUUUAUGAUCAAUGUUUUCUUUCUGCUUGCGUUUGUUUGGUAUAUAUUUGCCCAUUUAAAAAAGUUUUCAGCCACCUGAAUCACUUUACAGCAGGUCUCUUGUGCACAGCAUAGAAUUGGGGUUUUUUGGUGGUGGUGUUAUCAGUCUGAGUACCCUUUAAAAAAAAGUGAGUUUAGCCCAUUUAUAUAACAGAUGUUUGAACUUAGUUCUCUUAUAUAUAAGUUCUGUUUUCUGUUUUUAUAACUUUUAACUUUCGUAUAGAGUCUCUUUGCUUUGGUUUUUUGCAUUUACUCUGAUAUUUAGGAAGAAUUAAAAUUUUGCUGUAAUGUGGACCUUUAUAACUAUGUAGAAUUGCCUUCACCUUACACUUCUUUAGAAAGAAUUGCAAAAAAAAAGAAGGGACCUAAAACCUGGAAAUAAGGCAGAAGAUGGCUGUAUGUCCUCGGGUGUCAUUCUGCAGCAGUGUCUGACAAGCCUGCUUGAGAGCCAUCUGUCUUUCUAGAAGCAGUUCUCAAGUUCAGUACCCAACUAGCAUCAUCAGCGCCAGCAUCACCUGGGAACUUAGAAAUGCAAGUUCUCAGGCCCCACCCCAGACCAACCGAAUCAGAAACUGUGAAUGAGGCCCAGCAAUGUGUGCUUUAACAAACCUUCAGGUGACUCUGAUGCAUGGACAGUGGUUCUCAGCCAGUAGCAAUUUUGUCACUUAGGGGACAUUUGGAAAUGUCUGAAGACAUUUUUGGUUAUAAAGGAAGUGCUAAUGGUAUCUAGAAGGCAGAAGCCAGGGACGCUGUUAAAUACCCUACAGCGCACAGGACAGCCCCCUUCCCACUUCCCAACAAAGAAUUCUCUGGCCCCAAAUGUCAAUAGUACAGAGAUAUAGGAACCUUCUUUACAGGAAUGUAUUUUUGUUUCAUUUACUAUUUACUAUGGAUUAGGGCUCAGUUUCUAACUUCCAGAAAAUGGGUAAGAUACAACAGAUUUUUUAUCGGGUAGAGGUGUAAAUUAUUUCUGUCUAGUAGAGAAGAUAACCUCAAAGAUUAUGGUUUAAUUGCCUUGUAGGAUAUUAUAUUCAUGUGUGCUGUGUAGCAAAAUACCCUAAUACCUAAUAACAUAAAACAAUAAACAUUUAUUAUUACCAUGAUUUCUGUGAGUCAGGAAUUCAUUAAGUAGCUUUAAUUCUUGGAAAAACAAUUUUCAUAUGCUCUGUAGCAAUUUUGUUUUCUGGUGAGUUUUCUGACAUCUGUUUAACUGUCCUUUUUUUUUUUCUUCUCAUAUCCCCUUGGUUUUGGUUUUACCUCUGUUUUAAUUUUGAGCUUUUAUUCAAAAUCUGUGGGAAGUUCCUGUAGGGAAGGAACCAGAGUAGAGUUCAGGCCAGGUGAAAUUUCUAUUAUCCUAGGUUUUGAGUGUGAGUUCAAUUAGUCUUAACAUCUUGCUGGGCACUGGCAACUAUGGGAUUUUUUGUUUUUUUUCAUCAUAAAGAGCCUCUGGCAUUCUGCUGUCACAGAGACAGAUUGCUUCUAGCAAAUAUUUCUUGUCAGUGUGCCCUGGCUCUCCUGCUUCUCAGAACCAAACAGGCCCGGGAAGCUCCUGCCACCAGCUAAUAUAUCCUUGUUUCUUCUGUUGUAAAUGAAGAUUGAGGAUUUGCACUUCAGAGUGUGCCCUUCUCUCUGAGCGGGAUAUUUGCUGCCGCCGGGUGUGUGUGCGUGUGCGUGUGUGUGUAAGAUAUUUGCUGCCGCCUGGUGUGUGUGUAUGUGUGUUUUGAGGCAAAGCCUCACUCUAGGCUGGGGUGCAGUGGUGUGAUCUUGGCUCACUUGCAACCUCUGCCUCCUGGGUUCAAGCGAUUCUCCUGCCUCAGCCUCCUGAGUAACUGGGAUUACAAGUGCGUGCUGCCAUGCCUAGCUAAUUUUUGUAUUUUUACUAGAGAUGGGGUUUCACCAUGUUGACCAGGCUGGUCUUGAACUCCUGGCCUCUAGUGAUCCACCCACCUUGGCCUCCCAAAGUGCUGGGAUUACAGGCAUGAGCCACCGCACCCGGCCUAUACUCCAUAUUUAAAUCUUUCCAGUUGUCCCCCAAAUACCUGCUUUACUUUCCUUUUCUUUUUUUUUUUUUUUUAAUCCAGACAGUGUGUCGCUCUGUUGCCCAGGCUGGAGUGCAGUGGUACAAUCAUAGCUCGCUGCAGCCUUGAACUCCGGUGUUUAAGUAGUCUUCCUGCCUCAGCCUCUCAAAUCACUGGGACCAUAGGCGUGAGCCACUGCUUUCUUCAAAAUUUGACCCAGAAUCCAAUCAAGGGUGACAGUGAUCAUCAGACCUACAAAAUGAAGGAAUCUUAAGAAAGAUGGCUUAACCCAGUCAGAAGGGACAAGCAUAAUUUUCUUCCAUGGCUAUUUAAAGCCAACUGGGAGCCGGGAUGGGAAACUACUAAAGUUUGAUGCACCAGACUUUGGCCUGAUGCGCUCUCAGCAAAAUGUACAGAGGAGAUGGCCACUUGGUCUUUGGGAGCCCCUGGCUCUCUCUUUUUAAUGACACUAGCUGCUCUUAGCGCCCACUACAGGAAAUGAAGCAAUGGAAGAAGCGCACCUCAUGUGAAAGCAUUUGGAUUUUGCUAGGCUAUUUUCUGAGUAGUAUUUGUCCCGUGGAAAAAUACAGAAGAGGAAAUGAUCUUAGUUAUUCAUGUCUUCAUUCUCCACAUUUGCUCUAUGUUUGGCCUGUGCCAGGGUUGUAGGAGAUGUCGAAAAAGCUCAGAUUCUGCCAAGCAAGGAGUCUGUGACAUCCUCGUGGUUAACAAGUAGGAAGUGACAAAUCCCUGAGGGGAGAUGUGAGGGCCUGCAGUUCCACGAGGGAGCGUUUGCCCAGGGGGUUCAGGGACAUCCUGGUGGUGGUGUCUUCGCUCUCCAGACAGACUCCUUCUAAACACCAUAAAGAAGAGGGCCUGGCCAGGCGCGGUGGCUCACACCUGUAAUCCCAGCACUUUUGGAGGCCGAGAAGAGCAGAUCACGAGGUCAGGAGAUCGAGACCAUCCUGGCUAAUAUGGUGAAACCCCGUCUCUACUAAAAAUACAAAAAAAUUAGCUGGUCAUGAUGGUGGGCGCCUGUGGUCCCAGCUACUUGGGAGGCUGAGGCAGGAGAAUGGCAUGAACUCAGGAGGCGGAGCUUGCAGUGAGCUGAGACCGCACCACUGCACUCCAGCCUGGGCAACAGAGCAAGAGUCCAUCUCAAAAAAAAAGAAGAGGGCCUUGCCAUGCCCUUCUGUGCCUCCCCACACCUCUUGCAUGGGGUGACAGAUUCACCAGAGGCAUACAGUAUGGGUAAUUAAAUGGGCUUAGCUCAAGUUGGAGAAGAACUAUUGCUAACCUCUUUGUGUUUGGGUUAGGUGGCUAUUAUCUACUUAAUAAAAUAAUGUUGAAAAAGCAGGGCCCACUGGGACUGAUGGGGGUGCCGUUCACAAUGUUCACAAUGUAUUAUAAGUGAACAAUGCCCCCACAUGUGGGCAGCAUGGCCCGCUCUUCCAGAAGAGUAAGUCACAGCCAAUGUGAAGUGACUCAAGAGUAUACAAAGACUGCUCCUUACUUCUUUUUGACAAGGAACUUCCACAAGUAGAAAACUCAAGGAUUCCUUUGAGCCUUAACAGCUAUUUGGUCCUUCAGAAUACAUAUUAAAAUGCAAAUGUCAGCCGGGCGCGGUGGCUCACGCCUGUAAUCCCAGCACUUUCGGAGGCCGAGGCGGGCGGAUCAUGAGCUCAAGAGAUCAAGACCAUCCUGGCCAACAUGGUGAAACCCCGUCACUACUAAAAAUACAAAAAUUAGCUGGGCAUGGUGGUGUGUGCCUAUAGUCCCAGCUAUUCAGGAGACUGAGGCAGGAGAAUCACUUGAACCCAGGAGGUAGAGGUUGCAGUGAGCCAAGAUCGCGCCACUGCAGGCGACAGAGAGAGAUUCUAUCUCAAAGAAAAAAUAAUAAUAAUAAAUAAAUAAAAUGCAAAUGUCUCCUAGGACAGAGCAGUAUUUUGUCUUAGGGACAGGAAGGAUUAUCUGACAACUAAGUAGAAGCAAGGAUGGCUGGAAGAGAGAGGGGCAUGAUCCAGAAAAGGGCAGUGGUGGCCAGGAUCAUCACAGCUUGAUCUUUAUGAUAAUCUAGUUUGCUUCUCUUUUGUAAAAGGUGAAUGUGAUGAUCCAGGAAGUUAGAUAAUUUGCAAUCUCCCACAACCUGGAAAUUCUUUCUCUGGAGCCCUUGGUAAUGAUAAUAGCAAUAAUAAUGAUGAUAGUUAACAUUUCUUGAACUCUUGCUAUGUGAAAGGCACAGUUAGGCUCUUUAUACAUAUUAGCUUAUUUAAUUGCUCAUGAUGUCCUUAUGGUGUAGGUAAUAAUAUUUUUCUCAUUUUUACAGAUGAGGAGACUGACCUACAGAGAGGUAAAGUCCCUUGGCAAGGUCUCAUAGCUAGUGAGGGAAAGAAGAAUGUGUCACUUGAGGGAAAGACAGGAAGCCAUUGCCCCUGCAUACUGUUGUGUGAGCAAAGGCACUGAGGUGGGACAAGAAAGGAUAAGAUUUAAGAAGAGACAUCCUAAUAUCCAGAUAUGUUACAUUAUUAGCAUUGCUGCAGGAACUGCUGAAAAAGAUACAGUCAAGCAAGGGUGCUGGGGGUGGGGGUGGGGAGGUAGGUUUGCUAAUGCUUACUUAAUAGCCAGGAACAAACAGUAGCUAGGAAGAGGCACUGGGUCAGUGUGCCUGCCAAGAACAGUAGAGGAUGAACUCAUGUGGAUGGGUAUGCAGGAGUAUUUCCCACAGUCCUUUGAUUUGAGACCACCGGCUGCUGUCAUAUUUGGAGUAAUUGUGGUGUAAGGCACACUGGACUGAGAGUCAGGAGACCUGGGUGUGACUCAUGGUUUUGCUGCUAAUGAUCUGUGUGACCUUGGGGGAAGUCACUUAACUUCUCCAGACCUCAGUUUCUUCAUCUACAAAAUAAGGGAAUUACUAACACUCUUUCAGUUCUGGAAUUCUAAUUCUAAAGUAAAUCUUCUGCAGAGCAAGUCUGUUUGUCUUCCUUAAACUUAAAAUGGAAUUUAUUUUAAAAGCAGAUGGUUCCGGCACUGGAACCAUUCUCCCACAAUUCCUUUCAAUGACACAUCUAUAGAGCUAUAGUUAUAAAUUCCUUUGAAAACCAAUGGGCUUUUUGACAUGAGUGUCAGUAAAGAUCAAAUCAAAUCGUACCAAUAAAAUUAAAUAUAUUUUAAAAACAAAAACAGCUGUAAAAAUUUUAAAUGAGUUAAUUUCAAUUAAACUCUCAAAGUAUCAAGGAAUACAUAAAAAAUGUGUACUCCGAGCCAUGUGACGUGCAACGUGUCUAAUAGUAUUUUAUCAUGCAACAACAUGGUGGGUAAGUAUUAACUCCCUUUUACAGAUAGAAAUAGACCCAAAGAUGGUGAAUAACUUGGUCAAGGACAUAGAGUUAGCAAGGGCAAAACUUUAACCCAGGGUUCCAGACUCCAGGUCCAGAGCUUUCUACUUCAUCACAGCUGCAUCAAGAAUGUAGCACCAGCAGGUCUGCUCCAAUGAGUCAGGGAGACAGGUGUGGAACUUCCAAGAAAGUCUACCUUGCUGCUCCUACAGAAUCAGGGCCUCUGUAAAAGGGAGGGGCAGGACAGAAGGACUAGAGAGCGGAGAUAAGAUCUUGAGUUUGUUUCUCUGUUUGUUUGUUUGUUUGUUUGUUUGUUUGUUUUUGAGAUGGAGUCUUGCUCUGUCGCCCAGGCUGGA
rnacentral:lncRNA from 1 species